UCAUACUGUGAAACUGCGAAUGGCUCAUUAAAUCAGUUAUCGUUUAUUUGAUAGUACCUUUACCUGGAUAACCGUGGUAAUUCUAGAGCUAAUACAUGCUAAAAACCUCGACUUCGGAAGGGGUGUAUUUAUUAGAUAAAAAACCAAUGCCCUUCGGGGCUCCUUGGUGAUUCAUAAUAACUUAACGAAUCGCAUGGCCUUGCGCCGGCGAUGGUUCAUUCAAAUUUCUGCCCUAUCAACUUUCGAUGGUAGGAUAGUGGCCUACCAUGGUCUUAACGGGUAACGGGGAAUUAGGGUUCUAUUCCGGAGAGGGAGCCUGAGAAACGGCUACCACAUCCAAGGAAGGCAGCAGGCGCGCAAAUUACCCAAUCCCAAUACGGGGAGGUAGUGACAAUAAAUACUGAUACGGGGCUCUUUCGGGUCUCGUAAUUGGAAUGAGUACAAUCUAAAUCCCUUAACGAGGAACAAUUGGAGGGCAAGUCUGGUGCCAGCAGCCGCGGUAAUUCCAGCUCCAAUAGCGUAUAUUAAAGUUGUUGCCGUUAAAAAGCUCGUAGUUGAACCUUGGACCUGGCUGAUCUGUCCUCCUAAUCGAGCGCACGGAUUCGGUCGGGUCUUUCCUUCUGGGGAGCCCUAUGCCCUUCACUGGGUGUAGUGGGGAACCAGGACUUUUACCUUGAAAAAAUUAGAGUGUUCAAAGCAGGCCUUUGCUCGAAUACAUUAGCAUGGAAUAAUAGAAUAGGACAUCGGUUCUAUUUUGUUGGUUUCUAGGACCGCUGUAAUGAUUAAUAGGGAUAGUCGGGGGCGUCAGUAUUCAAUUGUCAGAGGUGAAAUUCUUGGAUUUAUUGAAGACUAACUACUGCGAAAGCAUUCGCCAAGGAUGUUUUCAUUAAUCAGUGAACGAAAGUUAGGGGAUCGAAGACGAUCAGAUACCGUCGUAGUCUUAACCAUAAACUAUGCCGACUAGGGAUCGGACGGUGGUUUUUUUAUGCCCCGUUCGGCACCUUACGAGAAAUCAAAGUUUU
rnacentral:rRNA from 1 species